AACUCCGGGAAACCGGGGCUAAUACCGGAUAACGCAUCGAACCGCAUGGUUCGAUGAUCAAAGAUGGCCUUCUUGCUAUCACUCACAGAUGGGCCCGCGGCGCAUUAGUUAGUUGGUGAGGUAACGGCUCACCAAGGCGACGAUGCGUAGCCGACCUGAGAGGGUGAUCGGCCACACUGGGACUGAGACACGGCCCAGACUCCUACGGGAGGCAGCAGUAGGGAAUCAUUCCGCAAUGGACGCAAGUCUGACGGUGCAACGCCGCGUGAGCGAUGAAGGUCUUCGGAUCGUAAAGCUCUGUUGUGAGGGAAGAACAAGUGCCCGUUCGAAUAGGGCGGCACCUUGACGGUACCUCACCAGAAAGCCCCGGCUAACUACGUGCCAGCAGCCGCGGUAAUACGUAAGGGGCAAGCGUUGUCCGGAAUUAUUGGGCGUAAAGCGCGCGCAGGCGGUUCCUUAAGUCUGAUGUGAAAGGCCACAGCUCAACUGUGGAGGGCCAUUGGAAACUGGGGAACUUGAGGACAGAAGAGGAGAGCGGAAUUCCACGUGUAGCGGUGAAAUGCGUAGAUAUGUGGAGGAACACCAGUGGCGAAGGCGGCUCUCUGGUCUGUAACUGACGCUGAGGCGCGAAAGCAUGGGUAGCGAACAGGAUUAGAUACCCUGGUAGUCCAUGCCGUAAACGUUGAGUGCUAGGUGUUAGGGGGUCCAACCCUUAGUGCUGCAGUUAACGCAAUAAGCACUCCGCCUGGGGAGUACGGCCGCAAGGCUGAAACUCAAAGGAAUUGACGGGGGCCUGCACAAGCGGUGGAGCAUGUGGUUUAAUUCGACGCAACGCGAAGAACCUUACCAGGUCUUGACAUCUUCGGACAGCCCAAGAGAUUGGGUCUUCCCUUCGGGGACCGAAUGACAGGUGGUGCAUGGUUGUCGUCAGCUCGUGUCGUGAGAUGUUGGGUUAAGUCCCGUAACGAGCGCAACCCCUGAUCUUAGUUGCCAGCAUUCAGUUGGGCACUCUAGGAUGACUGCCGGUGACAAACCGGAGGAAGGCGGGGAUGACGUCAAAUCAUCAUGCCCCUUAUGACCUGGGCUACACACGUGCUACAAUGGAUGGUACAAAGGGAAGCCAAACCGCGAGGUCGAGCUAAUCCCAUAAAGCCAUUCUCAGUUCGGAUUGUAGGCUGCAACUCGCCUGCAUGAAGCCGGAAUCGCUAGUAAUCGCGGAUC
rnacentral:rRNA from 1 species